rnacentral:rRNA from 1 species
UCCGAACCCACUUCAGUUAAAAAUGGAGGGGAUGAGCUGUGGAUAGGGGUGAAAGGCUAAACAAACCUGGAAAUAGCUGGUUCUCUCCGAAAACUAUUUAGGUAGUGCCUCAAGUAUCACCAUCGGGGGUAGAGCACUGUUAUGGCUAGGGGGUCAUUGCGACUUACCAAACCAUUGCAAACUCCGAAUACCGAUGAGUGAUAUCCGGGAGACAGACGGCGGGUGCUAAGGUCCGUCGUCAAAAGGGAAACAGCCCUAACCUACAGCUAAGGUCCCCAAGUCAUCACUAAGUGGGAAAGCAUGUGGAACUUCCAAAAC